CCCUUCGGGGCUUCUUGGUGAUUCAUGAUAACUUUACGGAUCGCAUGGCCUUGCGCCGGCGACGGUUCAUUCAAAUUUCUGCCCUAUCAACUUUCGAUGGUAAGGUAUUGGCUUACCAUGGUUUCAACGGGUAACGGGGAAUUAGGGUUCGAUUCCGGAGAGGGAGCCUGAGAAACGGCUACCACAUCCAAGGAAGGCAGCAGGCGCGCAAAUUACCCAAUCCCGACACGGGGAGGUAGUGACAAUAAAUACUGAUACAGGGCUCUUUUGGGUCUUGUAAUUGGAAUGAGUACAAUUUAAACCUCUUAACGAGGAACAAUUGGAGGGCAAGUCUGGUGCCAGCAGCCGCGGUAAUUCCAGCUCCAAUAGCGUAUAUUAAAGUUGUUGCAGUUAAAAAGCUCGUAGUUGAACCUUGGGUCUGGCUGGCAGGUCCGCCUCACCGCGUGUACUUGUCCGGCCGGGCCUUCCUUCUGGAGAACCUCAUGCCCUUCACUGGGCGUGUUGGGGACCAGGACUUUUACUUUGAAAAAAUUAGAGUGUUCAAAGCAGGCCUUUGCUCGAAUACGUUAGCAUGGAAUAAUAGAAUAGGACGUGCGGUCCUAUUUUGUUGGUUUCUAGGACCGCCGUAAUGAUUAAUAGGGACAGUCGGGGGCAUCAGUAUUCAAUUGUCAGAGGUGAAAUUCUUGGAUUUAUUGAAGACUAACUACUGCGAAAGCAUUUGCCAAGGAUGUUUUCAUUAAUCAGUGAACGAAAGUUAGGGGAUCGAAGACGAUCAGAUACCGUCGUAGUCUUAACCGUAAACUAUGCCGACUAGGGAUCGGGCGAUGUUCUUUUUCUGACUCGCUCGGCACCUUACGAGAAAUCAAAG
rnacentral:rRNA from 1 species